rnacentral:rRNA from 1 species
GACGAACGCUGGCGGCGUGCUUAACACAUGCAAGUCGAACGGAAAGGCCCUGCUUUUGUGGGGUGCUCGAGUGGCGAACGGGUGAGUAACACGUGAGUAACCUGCCCUUGACUUUGGUAUAACUUCAGGAAACUGGGGCUAAUCCCGGAUAGGAGCUCCUGCUGCAUGGUGGGGGUUGGAAAGUUUCGGCGGUUGGGGAUGGACUCGCGGCUUAUCAGCUUGUUGGUGGGGUAGUGGCUUACCCAGGCUUUGACGGGUAGCCGGCCUGAGAGGGUGAACGGGGACAAGGGGACUGAGAGACGGAGCAGACUGCAACGGGAGGCAGCAGGGGGGAAUAUUGCACAAUGGGAGGAAGCCUGAUGCAGCAACGCCGCGUGCGGGAUGACGGCCUUCGGGGUGUAAACCGCUUUCGCCUGUGACGAAGCGUGAGUGACGGUAAUGGGUAAAGAAGCACCGGCUAACUACGUG